UCCUUCGGUUCAUAAGUGUGACGAUUGGGUGUUCAUGCUCCUGUGUGAGAUGUGCCUCCCUCUAAACCUUGUUACAACAUGGCAUAUUACCUGUCUG
rnacentral:snoRNA from 1 species